AAUGCCUGCGAACUGCCUGGUGCUCAAACUUGGACGCGAACCGAAAAUAAUGGUGUGCCCCGCACAAGUGAGCGGUCCGGUCACCGAGACCGAGUCCCGGGACUUGCGCUUGAGUUUGUAAAUUAGUUUCAUCGAGUCUGAAUAACUCCUCGGGCUUGUGUGUGUGUGUGUGUGUGUGUGUGUGUAAGUGCGCGCGCGCGCGCGCGUGUGUGUUUUUCUGAGGGGGGGGGGGGGAGUCUCGCUGGUAAUGGCCAGCAGUGGCUGAAGUGUUUUGAUCCAGUCAGUGACAGCCUGCAAACAGCAGGGAGAGCUGUGCGGCGACCACACUGCAUUUGAUUAUGAGAGCCUCCAAGAAGUGAAGGAAAUCUGGGAGCUGAUUUCUCGCCGGGACGAAAAAUAAUUUCGACGCAGUGUGCAGUGGAUCACAACCAAAGAAGCCAUGGAGGCCUCACAGGACCUCAACGAACAGAUGGUGAAGAAGUCACACAGUGAAUCUCAUGUUCCAGACCCUUCGGACGCCAGGUCUAUGGAAAUGCAGGACCUAGCCAGUCCUCAUAACCGCGUGGGAGGUGGAGAUUCGACAGGCUCCAAGCUAGACAAGAACAACCUUGGCAGUCCCUCCAUCACCACCAAUGGAACAGGAGGUGAGAA